GAUGAACGCUGGCGGCGUGCCUAAUACAUGCAAGUCGAGCGAACGGACGAGAAGCUUGCUUCUCUGAUGUUAGCGGCGGACGGGUGAGUAACACGUGGAUAACCUACCUAUAAGACUGGGAUAACUUCGGGAAACCGUAGCUAAUACCGGAUAAUAUUUUGAACCGCAUGGUUCAAAAGUGAAAGACGGUCUUGCUGUCCCUUAUAGAUGAAUCCGCGCUGCAUUAGCCAGUUGGUAAGGUAACGGCUUACCAAGGCAACGAUGCAUAGCCGACCUGAGAGGGUGAUCGGCCACACUGGAACUGAGACACGGUCCAGACUCCUACGGGAGGCAGCAGUAGGGAAUCUUCCGCAAUGGGCGAAAGCCUGACGGAGCAACGCCGCGUGAGGGAUGAAGGUCUUCGGAUCGUAAAACUCUGUUAUUAGGGAAGAACAUAUGUGUAAGUAACUGUGCACAUCGUGACGGUACCUAAUCAGAAAGCCACGGCUAACUACGUG
rnacentral:rRNA from 1 species